rnacentral:rRNA from 1 species
UCGGAUGGCAUCGUCUGAAUAUCAAAGGAGCAAUCCGCUGAAAGAUGGGCUCGCGUCUGAUUAGAUAGUUGGUGAGGUAACGGCUCACCAAGUCGACGAUCAGUAGCCGGACUAAGAGGUUGAACGGCCACAUUGGGACUGAGAUACGGCCCAGACUCCUACGGGAGGCAGCAGUGGGGAAUAUUGCACAAUGGGGGAAACCCUGAUGCAGCAACGCCGCGUGAAGGAAGACGGUUUUCGGAUUGUAAACUUCUUUUCUUAGUGAAGAAGAAAGUGACGGUAGCUAAGGAAUAAGCAUCGGCUAACUACGUGCCAGCAGCCGCGGUAAUACGUAGGAUGCAAGCGUUAUCCGGAUUUACUGGGUGUAAAGGGAGCGCAGGCGGGACUUCAAGUUGGAUGUGAAAUACCGGGGCUCAACCCCGGAGCUGCAUCCAAAACUGUAGUUCUUGAGUGGAGUAGAGGCAAGCGGAAUUCCGAGUGUAGCGGUGAAAUGCGUAGAUAUUCGGAGGAACACCAGUGGCGAAGGCGGCUUGCUGGGCUCUAACUGACGCUGAGGCUCGAAAGUGUGGGGAGCAAACAGGAUUAGAUACCCUGGUAGUCCACACUGUAAACGAUGAUAGCUAGGUGUGGGGGGUCUGACCCCUUCCGUGCCGGAGU